ensembl:lncRNA
CUUGGGUCAGGGAUCUCUUUAAGCUAAAUUUUCAUAUUGUGGCUUUGCAGAAAUCAUGCAAGUACUGUGAAUUCCAGACCCAAACCCAUUUUGUUGUGAGAUUGUAGUUAAUAAUUUUGCAGAAAAGAUUGACCCACUCCAAUCAAUUUACCAGAGACAAGGGAAAAAUAGCCAGGCGACUAUUACUACUUGCUUUCUCUAUGAGGGAGGGAGGCUGGAGAGGCUCUAUUUUACUCACUGUAGAUGUGAGAAUCUCAGCGUUGAAAGUCAUGAUUCUCUUGCUCAAUCUCCUAUGUGUCCCUCCUGACUUGGGCCCAGACAUUCUCCAGGCCCUGGUGCUUGGCCAGUUGAUUUUCUCCAGAUUUUUCUGUAAGCUCUGCCAGCAGAGCCAGUGCCUGGCUGUUAGAAUUAACACCAGCAACCAAACAAAACUCUGGAAGUUUUUCAUGGGAAAGAAGCUACAUCUGAAGAAAACAUUUUGUCUGUGACCAACAUGAAGAGGUCAGUUUCUCUGGUUUCUGCUUCUAUUAACAUUGUAUUAGUGUCUAGCAACAUCUCUAGAGACACUUAAGGUUACUUGGAUUCCACAAGUGACAGAACAAAUAUAGCCAUCCUUAAAGGUCAAGCAAUCCACUCAGAAAUAUGUGGCCAUCUUGUCACUGAGAAGCAUCCAUGUAGAUGGUAAGUGGCCUCAUUGGUGUAUAUGGGUAUUUAGUAUGUGUGCAUAUAUGCACACACAUGUGCUAUGGUGUGUGUGUGCAUGAAUGCAUACAUACAUGCACAUGCACUUAAUACCCAUAAGUAUUAGGGUACUUAUGGGUAUUAAGUAUUAGGGUACUUAUGGGUAUUAAAUAUUAAUUUGUGUUUAAACUCACAAUUUAAACACACAGUUUAAUAUUACAGUUGUUUUCUCUGGAACCACAUAUUUAGAAACUACUAGUGAUAUGGUUUGGUUGUGUUUCCAGCCAGAUCUCACCUUGAAUUGGAAUAAUCCCUACAUGUCAAGGGCAAGGCCAGGUGGGGGUAAUUGAAUCAUGGGGGUGGGUUCCUCCAUACUGUUCUCCUGGUAGUGAAUAAGUCUCAUGAGAUCUAACAGUUUUAUAAAUGGGAGUUCCCCUGCACAAGCUCUCUUGCCUGCCACCAUGUAAGAUGUGACUUUGUUCCUUGUUCACCUUCUGCCAUGAUGUGAGGCCUUCCCAGCCAUGUGGAACUGUGAGUUAACUAAAUCUCUUUCCUUUAUAAACUACCCAGUGUCAAGUAUGUCUUUAUUAGCAGUAUGAGAACAGGCUAAUUCAACUAGUUAUUUUCAGUGUUCAGAAAUGAAAUUUUCUUAGCAUGAUAGUAUAAUAUAGAGAAGUUUAUCUUGUACUGUAACAUCUGAUGUGAGGUUAUUGAUGUUUUCACCACUUAUACCUAGAAACAUCUUUAUUGCCUACCAAUUUGCCUACAUCUACCUAAUACGAGGACAGCAAGAGCAGAACUGGCUCAGGAGACAGUGACUUGGUCUUUACCUGAAAUUCGUUACUGAGUGGGUGUGUUUCCUGAACCAGGUACUUAACUGCUCUGGAUUUUAGUUUCUAAUUCUUUAAGAGAUUUAGAGGCCAGGUGCCAUGGCUCAUGCCUUAAUCUCAGCACUUUGGGAGGCCAAGGCAGGCAGAUUACCUGAGGUCAGGAGCAGAAGACCAGCCUGGCCAACAUGGUGAAAUCCCAUCUCUACUAAAAAUACAAAGAGUUGGCUGGGUGCAGUGGUGUGCGUGUGUAAUCCCAGCUACUUGGGAGUCUGAGGCAAGAGAAUCACUUGAACCCAGGAGGCAGUGGUUGCGAUGAGCUGAGAUUGCACCACUGUACUCCGGCCUGGGCGACAGAGUGAGACUUUGUUUCAAAAAGAAAAAAAAGGAGAGAUUUUGAGCCAUAUGAUAUCUUAUUCCUCUUAUCAUCCUUUGGUUCCAUAGAUCAUUAUAGAGUCUGCAGGGAAUAAGGGUCUUUCUCUUAAGUUAUGCAAGCCGUAGAACUGGUAAUCAUUUUUUGGAACAACAUAUGAAUAUAGAAGACAUCAUCAUAUGUUAAUUUAUAAAAACUCUUCGGCAAUCUAGGCAUGGGCUGACUGACAUGGUUUCCUUGCCUCUAUCCUGGUUUUCUUCUUUCA